ensembl:lncRNA
AUAGAUAGAUAUAGAUAUUCUUAUAGCCUGUGUGAAAUAUAAAUGAUUAAUAAUAAGUAAAAGACUAACUAUAAUAGUAACACAAUAUUUUACUAACAUACAUAAUAAUACUGAAAUGUAUCAAAUAUAAUAGAUAUCCAACGAUCUUACAAAAUACUAAUAAUUCAAUAUCAAUAAUUGACAACAGUAAUGAUAAUAACAUUUUUGCUUUUAUUAUUAGUAUUAUAUACAAAUGUAUUUAAUUGUUAUUUAAUUAUUUAAUACAUGUUCUAUGACCUUAUAUGGCUCUAAACUAAAUAUUUUACUUAUUUCAAAUGUUGAUUUCGUAGCCAGUCGACAGAUGGCGCUGUAAGUGCUGUGAUGUAUCACUCAAUAACUAUUUAUAGAGAAUACUAAAGCACGUUUAUGAGAGACGAGUGUCAUUUUCUCUUUAUGUUCACCGCUGCAAAAACUGUAUAAUAAAUAUUUUUGAUAUUAAGAUUAAUUUUCUAGUUUAGCUCUCGUUCUGUUGGGUGCAAACCUACAGUCUCAAACUUUAUUAUUGUACAUACUUUGUCCUGAUGUUCCAAUAGGCCUUACAACCAAAUAAGGGAACAUUCGAUCCAUUACCUAAUAUGGAAAUAAAGACAAUUGCUUUAGAGAGCUGCACAAUCUUCUGAUUCCUCAGGGUCAUAACUAGUCUGUUUAACUUCAAAGGAUUAAAUGGCUCUUUUUUACAGCUAAUAUUUUUUACAUUUUUAAGUUCGGAAAUCACUUACAGUACAGUUAGGCUAUAUAGAAUAAAGAACAGGUUUAAAGGUAUAUACUGUAACACUGUAACAUACUAUACAGUGACUCCAGUUUGAACUACAGCCCAUCUUCUCUUGAUAGCCAUACUGUGGUCUCACAGGAUUUGACCUACUGCAAUACCUCUGCUUCAAUACAGCCACAAAGCCAGCAGACUGCCUGCUCAUCCACUGAUGCUGUGGAACCCAUCUGCCCCAAAAGAAACUCUAAAAAGGUAUUUAUGAAUUUUAUUAUUAUGAUCAUCGUUGAUUACCUUAUUUAAAAUUUAAAACUUAUUAUAUUACAUGUAUGUUUUCCAAACAUUUUUGUAAUGCCCACAAUAUAUGUACACAUUAAGUGAUUUCAACAGUUUUGCUUUGAAUGUACCAGACUUUGUUUUGUUUUUAGCAGACACUGCUUCAGUUUAAGCUUUG